rnacentral:rRNA from 1 species
GACGAACGCUGGCGGCGUGCUUAACACAUGCAAGUCGAACGGAAAGGCCCUGCUUUUGUGGGGUGCUCGAGUGGCGAACGGGUGAGUAACACGUGAGUAACCUGCCCUUGACUUUGGGAUAACUUCAGGAAACUGGGGCUAAUACCGUAUAGGAUCUCCUGCUGCAUGGUGGGGGUUGGAAAGUUUCGGCGGUUGGGGAUGGACUCGCGGCUUAUCAGCUUGUUGGUGGGGUAGUGGCUUACCAAGGCUUUGACGGGUAGCCGGCCUGAGAGGGUGACCGGCCACAUUGGGACUGCGAUACGGACCAGACGGCUACGGGAGACAGCAGUGGGGAAUAUUGCACAAUGGGCGGAAGCCUGAGGCAGCAACGUCGCGUGCGGGAUGACGGCCUUCGGGUUGUAAACCGCUUUCGCCUGUGACGAAGCGUGAGUGACGGUAAUGAGUAAAGAAGCACCGGCUAACUACGUG